AUCCACCUGACGAGUCCCACAUAGGACGAAACGUGCGUCCUGGAU
rnacentral:hammerhead_ribozyme from 1 species